GGCCUGGAACUGUGAGUCGCGACAGAGGCAAAACGAACUCGUUAUAUAAAAUGACAUUCGCGCUGCAUUUCUUACAUUUCCCGGCCUCUUCCAUGGGGAAGCUAUCACUUCUCCUUCUCGUCUCCAUCUUUCUCCUUCUCAGCUUUCCAACUGAAGCAAGUGUGGAGAAGGAGAAGACAUUGGCAAUUAUAAAACCGGAUGGUUUAUUUGGUAACUAUACAGACAAGAUAAAGACAAUUAUUCUGGAAUCUGGGUUCAGUAUCCUUAGAGAGAUGACGCUUCAACUCAAUGAAAGUGAUGUGGCACUCUUUUAUGCGGAGCAUUCUGGGAGGAGCUUCUUUCCUAGCAUUGUUAAUUACAUGACAAGUUAUAUUCUCAGUCAUUUCAAAAGCUACACUGAACAAAAGGAAGAAAAAAGAAGAAGAAGAAGGAUUUGGCCGUAUGAUGUCUCAAACGUGGACAGCCCAGUGUCUAUUAUGGUUCUGGAAAAGGCGAAUGCUAUUGUUGAUUGGCGUGUUUUGAUUGGACCAACGGAUGCAAGAAAAGCCAGACUAUCACAUCCUGGAAGCAUUAGGGCCAUGUGGGGUCAGAUUUAGAAAGGAAUUGUGUUCAUGGUUCUGAUUCUCCUCAAUCUGCUGCACGGGAGAUUACAUUUUUCUUUGGAGAGAUGUCAUCUGGAGAAAAUGUUGCUGUACAUGAUGAGCUUUAGAAGGUAAAAUAUCAAACACGACACACUGUAUUGAUUUGCAUCAACCCAUCUGUUUUUACCCAUCACUAGAUCAUGCCACUCUGCCUGGCACAGUUGCACAGUGCACUGCCACCAUAUAAACUGAUCACAACUAUGAAAUUGUAAGGAAAUAGAAAUCAUGGGGCUUGAAACUUGCUUGGUUUGUUAGGCUAGUCUAUAUGAUUUUUUUUAUUAUCUAAUUGGAUUGUGUUGUAACCAUAGACAUUCUUUCUUCUAGCAUGUACAUUCGUUGGUUGGUUGUUUCCA